UGGAAAUGAUGAAAUAGAGAUAUCUGGGUGUCGAAUGUUGCUAUGAGUGGACAGUUUUAAUACAUGUAGUAAUUCUCCUAGUUUACUGUUUCCUUGGUACUUAUUAGUGUGAGUGCGUGCAUGCAUGUGUGUGUGUGUGUGGUGGCUAUGAAAGGGGGCACUGAAUGGUGAUGCUGAUAUUGGAGUGCAUCUGAGGCUGUUGUAGAAAUAACAUGGGUUGUUGAUAACAACAUCGCCAAUGAUUAUAACCCAAAAACAGCUCACCUAAGUAGCCCAGCACCCUAAACUCUCUAACAGGAUCAUUAAAUGUCCUGUGAUCUGAUCCAA
rnacentral:snoRNA from 14 species